rnacentral:rRNA from 1 species
GAUGAACGCUGGCGGCGUGCCUAAUACAUGCAAGUCGAACGAAACUUCUUUAUCACCGAGUGCUUGCGCUCACCGAUAAAGGGAUGAGUGGCGAACGUGUGAGUAACAUGUCGGCAACCUGCCCUAAAGCGGGGGAUAACACUUGGACACAGGUGCUAAUACCGCAUAACCAUCGUUACCGCAUGUUAACUAUUUAAAAGGUAGCUAUACUACCGCUUUUUGAUGCGCCCGCGGCGCAUUAGCUAGUUGGUCGGGUAAAGGCUUGCGAGGGCACUGAUGCGUAGCCGAAUUGAGAGGCUGAUCGGCCACGGUGGGAGAGAGACACGGCCCACACUCCGACGGGGGGCAGGAGUAGAGUAUCUUGCGCAGUGGGCGAAAGGCUGAUGGAGCAACGCCGCGUGGGUGGAGAAGGUCUUCGGAUGGUAAAGCCCUGUUGUUAGGGAAGAAAGUGCGUGAGAGUAACUGUUCAUGUUGAGAGGAUAUGUAGACAGAGAGCCGGGUCAAUCCGCG